GGCGGAGUCUCUGCUGAACAAUACUCUACUGUGAAUCAAACUGGCAACAUAGGAGGAGUUUCAGGGAGCAGAUCCUUCAGUGAAACGUGUCUGCAGAUGAUGGAUCUCAUGGCUCCCCUGACUGACAGCAGAGUCAGAACAUCCAGGAUCAGGACCAGGAUUAAGGCCUGAACCAGGAUCCAUAGUGAGGAAGUGGACCUGCCUCACCUGAUGGAAACAACUGGUAGCGACCGGAACUACAGCAGACCUGACACUGCAGCGUAAGAUGGUGUCCUUGUGUUGUGUUCAGGUCUCACACAGAGCUGCUUCCUCUGCUGCCAAGUUCAGUCCAGAAGCUGCUGAGCAUCAACGGGAGCCAUAGAGGACGUCCUGAUCUGGAGAGGGCUGGAAAGGUUCUGAUCCAACAUUUAGUACGUCCCGCCUUUCUGCAGCAAACUGAGCUGCAAGCCUGAAGCUGAGGGCAGAUAAAGCUGGAAUCUUUUUAAACAAUUUAUGAAAACCUUUCAGUUUUUUUCUUUGAUUUUUGGAAGGAAUAUUUCUACAACUAAUAAAAUAAGAAUCCAUUUUAUAUAUUUUUUAUAAAUUUACAUUUUAUUAGUUGAUUUUAAUUUAACUGAAACAUAAUUUAAUAGAAAAUGUAAAAUCCUUCAAUUAAUUAAAGUCAGAGUCAGAGCUGUGUCCCUGAAGGUGUUAGAUGUCCAGCACAGCGGCAGGUUUUCCUGCUAAUCCAGCUGGAAAAGGAUCAAAGUUUGAUGUGAAGAGCAGGUUUAAUGUUCCACAGCCUGGAAUCAAGAAGCAGAACGUCGACCCGGUUUGUUCUUCUUCUCCUCCUUCCUCUGUUCCCGCUGCCAUACGGCGCCCAGGAGCAUCUCUGUUUGCACCAUCUGUGGAGCGUUUGCCUGCAGAUGCUCGCAGCUGUGCUGCACCGUCUCCGCACUGCUCGGUGUGUGUGAAGCUUUCAGGAACCUGUUAACCUCAGACAGCUCUCAGCUCGCUGAAAACAUCUGAGGAUAAACAAUGAAGUUUGAAUCCAGUCCAACUUCAGGUUUCUAAAGUUUCCAACAACAGCAGACAGAAGCGACAUCUGUCUGAUUUAUCUGAUCACUUAGGAAGCUGAUAGAAUUGAGGUGCUGUCCUCGGUGAGACAGCAGAGAGCUGGUGGGUCCAAAAGGCCGAAGUUCGAGAGAAAUGGGUCAGCAGAAGACCGACCAAAACAGAACCACCUGGACCUGCUCCUGCUUUUGGUUCUGCUCUAAUUGUGGUUCUAACCUUCAGCUGCUCAAUAAAUCUGGUUCUGAUUCUGCUGGAGGUUUCUUCUUGUUUAAAGUGAGUCUUUUCUUUCUACUGUCGCCACCUGCUGCUCAGCAGGAGGGAGAUAAAACAACUCAAUGGAACCAGGACAAUAAACUUAACCAGGCUGCUUUAUUACAGAACCAGGAUCUGUUUAUA